rnacentral:lncRNA from 1 species
GUGAUCUGCCCGCCUCAGCCUCCCAAAGUGCUGGGAUUACAGGUGUGAGCCACCAUACCCAGUGGAGAGAUGAUUUCUAAGGGCCCCCCCAACAUGGGAUCAGAAAUCAGGAGCCCUGACCCCUGACCAUGGUCCUGCCUCCCACAUGGUACUGAGGACAUCACACAAGGCCCCACCCUCAUGGCCCCCACAGCCUGAUGGUGAAGACAGAGACUGGGCGAAUCAUCACGCGGGGAAUCGUUUCAUGGAUGGGUGAUCGGCUAAGCACCGUCUUUGAACCUCAGACUACUUGGCUUUUCUGGGGGCCCAACUGUGCCCACUUAUGGGUGAGAAAACUGGGGCCUGGAGUGCAGGGAGGGGCCUGUUGUCGUAGGAAGGUCAGACAGGUCAAAAGUGGUGGAGCUGAGGCCUGAACCCACAGCAUCUAAUCCGGAGCCGGCAGAGGCCCCUUGGCCCUCACAUCUGCCGAGGAGUCACCUGGCCUGAGCGCUAGACAAAUGCAAGACCUAUAAGCCAUUUUAAAUGUUCCGGUAGCUACAUUAAAACCAAAUAAAAAGAAACUGGGGCCGGGCGCAGUGGCUCACGCCUGUAAUCCCAGCACUUUGGGAGGCCAAGACGGGCAGAUCACUUGAGGCCAGGAGUUUGAGACCAG